CACGGAGCUUGCUCUGGUGGCGAGUGGCGAACGGGUGAGUAAUAUAUCGGAACGUACCCUGGAGUGGGGGAUAACGUAGCGAAAGUUACGCUAAUACCGCAUACGAUCUACGGAUGAAAGUGGGGGAUCGCAAGACCUCAUGCUCGUGGAGCGGCCGAUAUCUGAUUAGCUAGUUGGUAGGGUAAAAGCCUACCAAGGCAUCGAUCAGUAGCUGGUCUGAGAGGACGACCAGCCACACUGGAACUGAGACACGGUCCAGACUCCUACGGGAGGCAGCAGUGGGGAAUUUUGGACAAUGGGCGAAAGCCUGAUCCAGCAAUGCCGCGUGAGUGAAGAAGGCCUUCGGGUUGUAAAGCUCUUUUGUCAGGGAAGAAACGGUGAGAGCUAAUAUCUCUUGCUAAUGACGGUACCUGAAGAAUAAGCACCGGCUAACUACGUGCCAGCAGCCGCGGUAAUACGUAGGGUGCAAGCGUUAAUCGGAAUUACUG
rnacentral:rRNA from 1 species